GAUGAAGAACGCAGUGAAAUGCGAUAAGUAAUGUGAAUUGCAGAAUCCAGUGAAUCAUCGAAUCUUUGAACGCACAUUGCGCCCCUUGGUAUUCCAUGGGGCAUGCCUGUUCGAGCGUCAUUUGUACCUUCAAGCUUUGCUUGGUGUUGGGUGUUUGUCUCGCCUUUGCGUGUAGACUCGCCUUAAAAUAAUUGGCAGCCGGCGUAUUGAUUUCGGAGCGCAGUACAUCUCGCGCUUUGCACUCAUAACGACAGCGUCCAAAAGUACAUUUUACACUCUUGACCUCGGAUCAGGUAGGGAUACCCGCUGAACUUAAGCAUAUCAAUAAGCGGAGGA
rnacentral:misc_RNA from 1 species